GCCGAAAUAGCUCAGUUGGGAGAGCGUUAGACUGAAGAUUUGAAGGUCCCUGGUUCGAUCCCGGGUUUCGGCA
rnacentral:tRNA from 14 species